rnacentral:rRNA from 1 species
UACGUAGGGCGCAAGCGUUGUCCGGAAUUAUUGGGCGUAAAGAGCUCGUAGGCGGUUUGUCACGUCGGCUGUGAAAACUCGAGGCUCAACCUCGGGCCUGCAGUCGAUACGGGCAGACUAGAGUGCUGUAGGGGGAGACUGGAAUUCCUGGUGUAGCGGUGAAAUGCGCAGAUAUCAGGAGGAACACCGGUGGCGAAGGCGGCCUGCUGGGCAGUUGCUGACGCUGAGGCGCGACAGCGUGGGGGAGCAAACAGG